rnacentral:rRNA from 1 species
CCCUUAGAUGUUCUGGGCCGCACGCGCGCUACACUGACGAAGUCAGCGAGCAUCUCCUACGCCGAAAGGUGCGGGGAAUCUUGUGAAACUUUGUCGUGCUGGGGAUUGAUUUUUGAAAUUCUUGAUCAUCAACGAGGAAUUCCUAGUAAGCGCAAGUCAGCAGCUUGCGUUGAUUACGUCCCUGCCCUUUGUACACACCGCCCGUCGCUACUACCAAUUGAAUGGUUUAGUGAGAUUUUUGGACUGGAACUCUCUUGUUCAGCAAUGAACGAGAGGGACUCUGGGAAGCUAUUCUAACUGUAUCAUUUAGAGGAAGUAAAAGUCGUAACA